rnacentral:rRNA from 1 species
UUGUACAACUUUCAACAACGGAUCUCUUGGCUCUCGCAUCGAUGAAGAACGCAGCGAAAUGCGAUAAGUAAUGUGAAUUGCAGAAUUCAGUGAAUCAUCGAAUCUUUGAACGCACCUUGCGCUCCUUGGUAUUCCGAGGAGCAUGCCUGUUU